CUUACGGGAGGCAGCAGUGAGGAAUAUUGGUCAAUGGGCGCGAGCCUGAACCAGCCAAGUCGCGUGAGGGAGGACGGCCCUACGGGUUGUAAACCUCUUUUGCCGGGGAGCAACGGGCGUCACGUGUGGCGCCACUGAGAGUACCCGGAGAAAAAGCAUCGGCUAACUCCGUGCCAGCAGCCGCGGUAAUACGUAGGGAGCGAGCGUUGUCCGGAUUUACUGGGUGUAAAGGGUGCGUAGGCGGCUUGGCAAGUCAGUAGUGAAAUCCAUGGGCUUAACCCAUGAACUGCUAUUGAAACUGUCGG
rnacentral:rRNA from 1 species